rnacentral:rRNA from 1 species
GACGAACGCUGGCGGCGUGCUUAACGCAUGCAAGUCGAACGGAAAGGCCCUGCUUUUGUGGGGUGCUCGAGUGGCGAACGGGUGAGUAACACGUGAGUAACCUGCCCUUGACUUUGGGAUAACUUCAGGAAACUGGGGCUAAUACCGGAUAGGAGCUCCUGCUGCAUGGUGGGGGUUGGAAAGUUUCGGCGGUUGGGGAUGGACUCGCGGCUUAUCAGCUUGUUGGUGGGGUAGUGGCUUACCAAGGCUUUGACGGGUAGCCGGCCUGAGAGGGUGACCGGCCACAUUGGGACUGAGAUACGGCCCAGACUCCUACGGGAGGCAGCAGUGGGGUAUAUUGCACAAUGGGCGGAAGCCUGAUGCAGCAACGCCGCGUGCGGGAUGACGGCCUUCGGGUUGUAAACCGCUUUCGCCUGUGACGAAGCGUGAGUGACGGUAAUGGGUAAAGAAGCACCGGCUAACUACGUG